rnacentral:rRNA from 1 species
UAACGCGUGGGCAACCUGCCUCGUACAGGGGGAUAACAGUUAGAAAUGACUGCUAAAACCGCAUAAGCGCACAGCAGCGCAUGCUGCAGUGUGAAAAACUCCGGCGGUACGGGAUGGGCCCGCGUCUGAUUAGCUUGUUGGCGGGGUAACGGCCCACCAAGGCAGCGAUCAGUAGCCGAUCUGAGAGGGUGGACGGCCACAUUGGGACUGAGACACGGCCCAAACUCCUACGGGAGGCAGCAG